AUUGAACGCUGGCGGCAUGCCUUACACAUGCGAGUCGAACGGUAACAGGUCUUCGGAUGCUGACGAGUGGCGCACGGGUGAGUAAUACAUCGGAACGUGCCCGAUCGUGGGGGAUAACGGAGCGAAAGCUUUGCUAAUACCGCAUACGAUCUACGGAUGAAAGCAGGGGACCGCAAGGCCUUGCGCGGACGGAGCGGCCGAUGGCAGAUUAGGUAGUUGGUGGGAUAAAAGCUUACCAAGCCGACGAUCUGUAGCUGGUCUGAGAGGACGACCAGCCACACUGGGACUGAGACACGGCCCAGACUCCUACGGGAGGCAGCAGUGGGGAAUUUUGGACAAUGGGCGAAAGCCUGAUCCAGCCAUGCCGCAUGCAGGAUGAAGGCCUUCGGGUUGUAAACUGCUUUUGUACGGAACGAAAAGACUCUUUCUAAUAAAGAGGGUCCAUGACGGUACCGUAAGAAUAAGCACCGGCUAACUACGUG
rnacentral:rRNA from 1 species